GCCGCUUAUACUCAGUGAAAUUUCGAGAACCGCGAAAUACUAAAUUGUUUCCCUCUUUAUUGUAACACUUAGGCUACAUAAUGAAAAAAAAAAUAGUAUUCACACAGAAGGUGGAAAAAAAAUUAGAGUCCCCAACAGAAAUCUCUCUUGGGAACAAAUCCUAAUCUCGUCACCGCACCCUAUCUCCCACCGAGUAAACUCUCCGUCGACACCUUGAAGCUCGAUUUCGUGAUCUGUAAACAGUAAUCGAAUCGAAGGUAGACAUACCUAUGCGUUGUCAAUUUCCUUUCUUUCCUAGGGCCUGAGUCUGAGACAGAAGAGAGAAGAGACGAGACGAAACAGAGAUAGAGAGGAGACAGAGCUUGGGUCGUGUCUUGCUUCGUCUACGAUUACCAGAGCUUGGGUUGGGUCGGGUCUUGCUUUGUCUCCGCUGUUUUUGGCUCUGCUUCAUAGAUCCGCGGUGUUCGAGCUCUAUCGCCGCUUGUUCCGGAGCUUAAGUCGAGCGAGAAGAGAAGACAGAAGAUGGAGUUGGUCCCAGAAUGCUGAAGACUAGAACUCAAUAUACCAUAACUCGGUUUGCCUCAGCGUGUCGGUGAGUCUCCAGAGAAGCGUGGUAUCACUCACCUCUUCCCCAUUCAGGGCUGUGUUGGUUCAUGCACUGCAAGGACAAGACAUCAUAGCUCGUGCAAAGAAAUGAACUGGAAAUACUUUAGCUUUCGGUAUCCUUAUUAUCAAACGCCUCACUGAACAAGAUGGAGACUACUCUGCUUUCAGGUGACCAGAUGCUUGCUGUUGGGUUUGAGGAGGCUGUGAAGUCGAUUCUUGAGAAUCUCCCACAGAAGAGACAAAGCAUGCUUUUCUCAGAAACUAUGCCUUCUUGGGUGAAGAAGUUGGCGUGGAAGUACCUUGACAAUCCCCUGAAUAUCUGUCUGGUUGGAGACCAAGAUAAGAAGCUCGCGGAAGGGAUAAAACUCUAUGCAAUCUCAGCCAAAUCAAAUAAAUAAACGCACUAUUCGAAGAUGAUUACGGCUUUUGAACCACUUUUCGCUGGAAAACAAUGGCGGGUUGGCAGUGGAAUAUACAGUUGAUUCGUUAAGUUGGGAGAAGAGUGAAGACCAAUAACAUCUCAUGUCUUCAAGGUGACAACUUUAUGUAUAAGCUCACUGAGUGUACAGUUGCUUCUAUUUUUUUUUGUCUUUCCAGUAUCUCACUUUGAUUAUACAUAAAGAAAACUAACUGUUUUUUGGUUGCUAAUGUCUUCACUUUUGCACUUUUGCUGCCUGGUGGCUAAUGUUGUCACGUACGAGUGCACUGGAGCAUUUAAUCUUGUUUAAGGUUCAGACAUUGGAGCAUUUCAUCUUCAUUGUUUAUUUGGUUACGUCACAAACGUUUAGCCUGGAUGCAUAUCUAUGCUUGCUUCGUCUCUAUUAGGUGUUCUAAUCGUUUCUCUAUGUGAUAUGAUACUGGCUUAUGUUGAGGCUGAGAUAUCCACUCUAUUGCUUCCAAUUGCAGGUUCUUGGAAUACCAACUCGGAUAUUGUUAAGGUGUAUCCCCUACACUUUCUCUGAGAGAUACAGGCUAAGGCCGAGAAGGAAAAAUGAGAACUCAAGGUUUUGAUUUAGUUCCCAUGUUUUCUAUAGUCCUUUUUAUUUGUAGUUCUGAUUUUGUAAUGAUGUCCGUGUAAGGUUUGAUGAAAAUGUAUACAUGUUUGUGGUAUGUAAGUACAUUUUGGUUUUAUUAAUGAAAUAUUAAUUGAAUAUUAA